rnacentral:rRNA from 1 species
AUCUACAGCCAUACCACCCUGAAUGUGCCUGAUAUCAUCUGAUCUUGGAAGCCAAGCAGGGGUCAGGCCUGGUUAGUACUUGGAGACCACUUAGGAACACUGGGUGCUGUAAGGA